GACAGAGGAUGCAAGCGUUAUCCGGAAUGAUUGGGCGUAAAGCGUCUGUAGGUGGCUUUUUAAGUCCGCCGUCAAAUCCCAGGGCUCAACCCUGGACAGGCGGUGGAAACUACCAAGCUGGAGUACGGUAGGGGCAGAGGGAAUUUCCGGUGGAGCGGUGAAAUGCGUAGAUAUCAGGAGGAACACCUGUGGUGUAGACGGCUUUCUGGACCAUAGCUGACGCUGAGACACGAAAGCGUGGGUAGCAAACAGG
rnacentral:rRNA from 1 species